AUGCACGCUGGCGGCGUGCUUAACACAUGCCAGUCGAACGAUGAAGCCCAGCUUGCUGGGUGGAUUAGUGGCGAACGGGUGAGUAACAUGUGAGUAACCUGCCCUUGACUCUGGGAUAAGCCUGGGAAACUGGGUCUAAUACUGGAUAUGACUUCUCAUCGCAUGGUGGGGGGUGGAAAGAUUUAUUGGUCUUGGAUGGACUCGCGGCCUAUCAGCUUGUUGGUGAGGUAAUGGCUCACCAAGGCGACGACGGGUAGCCGGCCUGAGAGGGUGACCGGCCACACUGGGACUGAGACACGGCCCAGACUCCUACGGGAGGCAGCAGUGGGGAAUAUUGCACAAUGGGCGCAAGCCUGAUGCAGCGACGCCGCGUGAGGGAUGACGGCCUUCGGGUUGUAAACCUCUUUCAGUAGGGAAGAAGCGAGAGUGACGGUACCUGCAGAAGAAGCGCCGGCUAACUACGUG
rnacentral:rRNA from 1 species